rnacentral:rRNA from 1 species
UGCGGAGGGAGCUAGCGUUGUUCGGAAUUACUGGGCGUAAAGCGCGCGUAGGCGGCUUUGUAAGUUAGAGGUGAAAGCCUGGAGCUCAACUUCAGAAUUGCCUUUAAGACUGCAUCGCUUGAAUCCGGGAGAGGUGAGUGGAAUUCCGAGUGUAGAGGUGAAAUUCGUAGAUAUUCGGAAGAACACCAGUGGCGAAGGCGGCUCACUGGACCGGCAUUGACGCUGAGGUGCGAAAGCGUGGGGAGCAAACAGG